rnacentral:rRNA from 1 species
AACGAACGCUGGCGGCAUGCCUAACACAUGCAAGUCGAACGAGACCUUCGGGUCUAGUGGCGCACGGGUGCGUAACGCGUGGGAACCUGCCCUUAGGUUCGGAAUAACUCCCCGAAAGGGGUGCUAAUACCGGAUAAUGUCUUCGGACCAAAGAUUUAUCGCCUUUGGAUGGGCCCGCGUUGGAUUAGCUUGUUGGUAGGGUAAAAGCCUACGAAGGCGACGAUCCAUAGCUGGUCUGAGAGGAUGAUAAGCCACACUGGGACUGAGACACGGCCCAGACUAGUACGGGAGGCAGCAGUGGGGAAUAUUGGAAAAUGGGCGAAAGGCUGAUAAAGCAAUGCCGCGUGAGUGAUGAAGGCAUUAGGGUAGUAAAGCUCUUUUAACAGGGAAGAUAAUGACAGUACCGGGAGAAUAAGCUACGGCUAACUCCGUG